ACGGAGGGGGCAAGCGUUGCUCGGAAUUACUGGGCGUAAAGGGUCCGCAGGCUGUCAGGCAAGUUGGUUGUGAAAGCUCAAGGCUUAACCUUGGAAUUGCAUCCAAAACUGCCUGACUAGAGUCCAAGAGAGGUUGGCGGAAUUCCCGGUGUAGCGGUGAAAUGCAUAGAUAUCGGGAGGAACACCAGAGGCGAAGGCGGCCAACUGGCUUGGAACUGACGCUCAGGGACGAAAGCGUGGGUAGCAAACCGG
rnacentral:rRNA from 1 species